CCCUUUCUCCUUUGUAUACUCGUCUUUCUUUUUCCUUCUGUUAAGGGUUGGCACUGCCUCUUUUCUCUAUGAAUGGCAAACACACCCUUCAAUCUACCUUUCCCUGUUGUAAUUGCGCUGGUUUUGGGUCCACUGCUAGCACUUUCGUGGAUUAAGCUUGCCUCCUUGGCUGAAUCAUUUAUUGCAUGGUGCUUUUAUUUGUUCCUGCCAGUGUCUUUCUGUUUGCAGGCUGCGUUUUUUC
rnacentral:lncRNA from 1 species